GCAUAUAUGCUCACGGUUGCUGUAUUAACAAUUAUGAAAAAAGAUAUCCUACAAGUCCAAUAUAUAUAAUAGAUCUUUUUACAUAUUGGUUUUACGUGUCUUCGAAUUAAGCUGUAAAGCAAUAUAUUGUUAAAAUAUACCUACAUUUUUAACGCUAUUGGAUUUAGACUAUGUUUACGGGUAAUUCAGAGUUUUGCCAAUUUCUCAAAUGAUUUCAUUAAGGCCAAUACAUAUUUAAUGAUUAAUUAAAAACUGGAAAUGUGAAAUCUCUACUCAUUAAUUUGAUAUUUAAUGCGUGACUUUGUAAAAUCUUGGUUUGACACAAUUCUGCAUCAAACAUGCAAAAAUUGUAGUUGAAGUCAAAUCCUGGUUUUAUAAUCUUACCGCUGGUUAUCUAAUUUUAACUAUAUUAAUAAUAGGCAUCUAAUGUGGAGAACACUUGUAAUUCACUGCACUUGUUAGCUCCUUUGUAAAGCUCCUGACAUUUCUAGCAGGUCACUGUGAUAUGUGCCAAUUUAUAAUCAAUUCCACUUCUGCAAAAUAUAAAAAAAACUCCAUCGGUAUGUGUCUACACGAGAAUGCACAGAUGAAUAGAUUGAAUACAGUGUGAACAUUUCACAGCAAACUUAAACCGUAG